GGUGCGUAACACGUGAGAAACCUGCCCUUAAGUUCGGGAUAGCCCUACGAAAGUAGGAUUAAUACCGAAUGUGGCCUGAGGAUAGCAUUUUCCUUUGGUUAAAGCUCGGUUAUAGAGCGCUUUAGGAUGGUCUCGCGGUCUAUCAGCUUGUUGGUGAGGUAACGGCUCACCAAGGCUCUGACGGAUAGCUGGUCUGAGAGGAUGAUCAGUCACACUGGAACUGAGAUACGGUCCAGACACCUACGGGUGGCAGCAGUCGAGAAUCAUUCACAAUGGGCGAAAGCCUGAUGGUGCGACGCCGCGUGGGGGAUGAAGGGCUUCGGUUCGUAAACCCCUGUCAUCUGUGAGUAAGGCUCCCAAUAAAAGCUUGGGAGAUUGAUAUUAGCAGAAGAGGAAGGGACGGCUAACUCAGUGCCAGCAGCCGCGGUAAUACUGAGGUCCCAAGCGUUGUUCGGAUUUACUGGGCGUAAAGGGUGCGUAGGCGGCUAUAAAAGUUUGGUGUGAAAUCA
rnacentral:rRNA from 1 species